AACGCUAGCUACAGGCUUAACACAUGCAAGUUGAGGGGCAGCAUGGUCUUAGCUUGCUAAGGCCGAUGGCGACCGGCGCACGGGUGAGUAACACGUAUCCCACCUGCCGUCUACUCUUGGACAGCCUUCUGAAAGGAAGAUUAAUACAAGAUGGCAUCAUGAGUCCGCAUGUUCACAUGAUUAAAGGUAUUCCGGUAGACGAUGGGGAUGCGUUCCAUUAGAUAGUAGGCGGGGUAACGGCCCACCUAGUCUUCGAUGGAUAGGGGUUCUGAGAGGAAGGUCCCCCACAUUGGAACUGAGACACGGUCCAAACUCCUACGGGAGGCAGCAGUGAGGAAUAUUGGUCAAUGGGCGAGAGCCUGAACCAGCCAAGUAGCGUGAAGGAUGACUGCCCUAUGGGUUGUAAACUUCUUUUAUAAAGGAAUAAAGUCGGGUAUGUAUACCCGUUUGCAUGUACUUUAUGAAUAAGGAUCGGCUAACUCCGUGCCAGCAGCCGCGGUAAUACGGAGGAUCCGAGCGUUAUCCGGAUUUAUUGGGUUUAAAGGGAGCGUAGAUGGAUGUUUAAGUCAGUUGUGAAAGUUUGCGGCUCAACCGUAAAAUUGCAGUUGAUACUGGAUAUCUUGAGUGCAGUUGAGGCAGGCGGAAUUCGUGGUGUAGCGGUGAAAUGCUUAGAUAUCACGAAGAACUCUGAUUG
rnacentral:rRNA from 1 species